rnacentral:rRNA from 1 species
UAUUGGGCAAUGGGCGCAAGCCUGACCCAGCAAUGCCGCGUGGGUGAAGAAGGUCUUCGGAUUGUAAAGCCCUUUCGGCGGGGACGAUGAUGACGGUACCCGCAGAAGAAGCCCCGGCUAACUUCGCGCCAGCAGCCGCGGUAAUACGAAGGGGGCUAGCGUUGCUCGGAAUCACUGGGCGUAAAGGGCGCGUAGGCGGCCCUGUUGGUCCGGCGUGAAAUCCCUGGGCUUAACCUGGGGGCUGCGCUGGAGACGGCGGGGCUGGAGGCCGAGAGAGGGUGGUGGAAUUCCCAGUGUAGAGGUGAAAUUCGUAGAUAUUGGGAAGAACACCGGUGGCGAAGGCGGCCACCUGGCUCGGACCUGACGCUGAGCGCGAGA